CCACUCCAACGGCCUCUCCUCUUCUGCAGUGGGUGGGACUGGAGGGCCCUGGAGACCCCCCAGCACACUCGCUGACUGAGGGAUGAUGUGAGUGC
rfam:Equus caballus chromosome 16, whole genome shotgun sequence.